AUCGCUUCUCGGCCUUUUGGCUCAGAUCAAGUGUAGUAUCUGUUCUUAUCAGUUUAAUAUCUGAUACGUCCCCCAUCGGGGGACCACAUAUUAAAUGGAUUUUUCGAACAGGGAGUCGGAAAUGGGGCUUGCUCCGUCCGCUCCACGCAUCGACCCGGUAUUGCAGUACCUCCGGGAACGGUGCAACACUU
rnacentral:snRNA from 8 species